AACAACCACUCCACCAGGGACAAGAACACCCGAUUGGUAUGAAACAACCACUCCACCAGGGACAAGAACACCCGAUUGGUAUGAAACAACCACUCCACCAGGGACAAGAACACCCGAUUGGUAUGAAACAACCACUCCACCGGGGACAAGAACACCCGAUUGGUAUGAAACAACCACUCCACCAGGGACAAGAACACCCGACUGGUAUGAAACAACCACUCCACCAGGGACAAGAACACCUGAUUGGUAUGAAACAACUCAACUGAAGACCUGCAGCGUCGAUGCAGGUCGAGUGGUGGGGUCCUCAGGUGCAAUAGGAGUAGGAUCCCCGUAUGCAUAUUACGGCAAUAAUGAAAACUGUGUGUGGGAGAUCGAGGUGCCCCAGGGGUCCUUCAUACAAUUCACAUGGGACUACUUUAGCCUGGAGGGUUCCAGACCCUGGUGUGGAUGCGACCACGUCGAUAUCUCGGACUAUGCAACUGGACAGAGCUUGACGUAAGGCAAUCGGGGUAUUUAAGUAGAUACACUGAUAUCUAAAAUAAAAAAAAAAUAAAAAAAUCUUAAUCUUACUGUCAAUAUAUAUGGAAAACAUCUGAUUAAAACAAAAUAAAAACAAAGCCACACGAAAAGUAAAAAAAAA